UACAGAGGGGGCAAGCGUUGUUCGGAAUUACUGGGCGUAAAGGGCGCGUAGGCGGCCCGCUAAGUCGAACGUGAAAUCCCCCGAGCUCAACUCGGGAACUGCGUCCGAUACUGGUGGGCUUGAAUUCGGGAGAGGGAUGCAGAAUUCCAGGUGUAGCGGUGAAAUGCGUAGAUAUCUGGAGGAAUACCGGUGGCGAAGGCGGCAUCCUGGACCGACAUUGACGCUGAGGAGCGAAAGCUAGGGGAGCAAACGGG
rnacentral:rRNA from 1 species